AGUGAACGCUGGCGGUAGGCCUAACACAUGCAAGUCGAACGGCAGCACAGGAGAGCUUGCUCUCUGGGUGGCGAGUGGCGGACGGGUGAGGAAUACAUCGGAAUCUACUCUGUCGUGGGGGAUAACGUAGGGAAACUUACGCUAAUACCGCAUACGACCUACGGGUGAAAGCAGGGGAUCUUCGGACCUUGCGCGAUUGAAUGAGCCGAUGUCGGAUUAGCUAGUUGGCGGGGUAAAGGCCCACCAAGGCGACGAUCCGUAGCUGGUCUGAGAGGAUGAUCAUCCACACUGGAACUGAGACACGGUCCAGACUCCUACGGGAGGCAGCAGUGGGGAAUAUUGGACAAUGGGCGCAAGCCUGAUCCAGCCAUACCGCGUGGGCGAAGAAGGCCUUCGGGUUGUAAAGCCCUUUUGUUGGGAAGGAAAUCCAGCUGGCUAAUACCCGGUUGGGAUGACGGUACCCAAAGAAUAAGCACCGGCUAACUUCGUGCCAGCCGCCGCAGUAA
rnacentral:rRNA from 1 species